GCCACUGUUUCCUCCCCUUCCUUCUGCACGAGGUGGACCAACAAACACACAGGACAGCAACGGAUGAGUCCGCAAUACAAGCUGUUGGUACAAUACACUGCCUUUUGUUUUGGCUAGGUGACUGCAAAUGAGUGGAGUCAUCUAAGAGGUUAUUUUUGACAAUUAUGGUCUAUCUGGAAGCCUUCCUCAGCGUUAUCUUCUUCAUCAGCGCUCUUCCUCUGGAUUAGGGACGUUUACGACAGCCUCGUUGGGGGAAACCCUUGUUUUGAGCUCUUACUAAGACCCAUGGACUAGCGGAAUGGGGCGAAUGUGUGUGGAAGGGAGGAGGAAUGAAGGGCGGCUGGGAGAAGGGAGCGGCAGAGACCUGAUGAGAGUGGGGGGGCUGGUGGUGGUGCUCUCCCUCAUAGUGUCCUCUUCAGGUGCCUCGCCUAAUUCCCCAGGCAUUAGCCUGCCACCAUUGAAUGAGUCUGUGGCAACUGGCAAACGUGCAGAGUUCAGCUGUGGCAUGGCCAAUUCCCUCAAUAAGAUGCUCAAGUUCACUAUGUAUGCUCCCAAGAAAAACCUCAGCAUCACCUGUGUUGGAGAUCAGACUGAUGCGACCGAGGUCAACUUCGACCGCUACUUUGGUGAAUGUAAGGGAGAGCCAAACAACCUGCUGGCCGUGUUGUCCAUCGUUGACGCCAAAUUAUCGGACAACGGCAUUUAUGUCAGAUGCCAGUCCCUUGAAGAAAGCUCUGCUGCAUUCUUAAACGUCGAAGAACCAUCCAACAGCUUCGGUAUCAUCAUUGGCUGCACUAUUGGAGCAUUCAUCACCACUCUACUGGUCUUUGGCGCGCUUUUCCACGUUAUUCGGGGAUCCGAGAAACUACAGCAAUGCUUCAGAGGUCCAGUUGAGGUGGAGGAGGACAUCACCAUGGCCACCGUGGAGUGAGAAAGGAGUGAGAAGUGGAGUGAAACAAAGCUUUUAUUUGCAUGCACUUAUAAGAAUGCACUGCAGAAUGAUGAGUAACUACCUUAAGUUGAAAAGUAGAAAAGCAUAGUUUAAAUCUUUGCGUAGGAUUUUAAUUGAACUAUUAACACAUGUUUGCAAAUAUGUUGACAGCCUAACACUACUUUUGCAAACUGUCAGAUAACCAACAAUAAUUUGAGAGUAUGAUAUUUAUCUCUACAUGUAUUUUAGAGUAGAAGAAUAUAUAUCUUACUUCACUACAAAUAUGAACAAACACCGUACAAAAUACUACCAGGAUACAUUCCUGUAAUAUGAGAGGAUUUUACUGUAAUUUAUUUAUAUUAUAUUUUUAUUGUACUUAGCCAAACAAAUGAAUACUUAUUGCCCAAUAAAUAUAAUUAUUUUCUCGGGUACUACAUUUAUUGUUUAUAUACUUUAUUACUGCUGCAACUUGAAUGAAUUUAAUUUGCAAUUCUUUUAAUUCUUUUAAUUUGAU
ensembl:lncRNA